CACGUAGGGUGCAAGCGUUGUCCGGAAUUAUUGGGCGUAAAGAGCUCGUAGGCGGUUUGUUGCGUCGGCUGUGAAAUCCCGAGGCUCAACCUCGGGUCUGCAGUCGAUACGAGCAAACUAGAGUGUUGCAGGGGAGACUGGAAUUCCUGGUGUAGCGGUGAAAUGCGCAGAUAUCAGGAGGAACACCGGUGGCGAAGGCGGGUCUCUGGGCAACAACUGACGCUGGAGGAGCGAAAGCGUGGGGAGCGAACAGG
rnacentral:rRNA from 1 species